rnacentral:rRNA from 1 species
CCUACGGGUGGCUGCAGUGAGGAAUAUUGGUCAAUGGACGAAAGUCUGAACCAGCCAUGCCGCGUGAAGGAAGACGGCCCUAUGGGUUGUAAACUGCUUUUGUAUGGGGGUAAAACUGAAUAUGCGUACCCAGUUGUAUGUACCAUACGAAUAAGGAUCGGCUAACUCCGUGCCAGCAGCCGCGGUAAUACGGAGGAUCCAAGCGUUAUCCGGAUUUAUUGGGUUUAAAGGGUGCGUAGGUGGAUUGAUAAGUUAGAGGUGAAAUGUUGCCGCUUAACCGUAGAACUGCCUCUGAUACUGGCGGUCUAGAGUGCAGAAGAGGUAGGCGGAAUGUGUGGUGUAGCGGUGAAAUGCUUAGAGAUCAUACAGAACUCCGAUUGCGAAGGCAGCUUACUGGACUGUAACUGACGUUGAGGCUCGAAAGCGUGGGGAGCAAACAGGAUUAGAUACCCGGGUAGUC